CAUCAUGGAUUAGGGCGGAAGCGCCGGGCUGUGAGGGGCCGUGAGGGGCCGCGGCCUGGGCCUGGGCCUGGGGGCCGCCCCCCCCCUCGCCCGCGUUAUUCUUCCCCCCUAGGUGGGAACUAGAGAGGUCUCUGGGGAGCUGAGUCGCUUCACGCUGAAUGGCGGUGUGCUUUGGGCCCUGCUGCGCGAGAAAGCCCGUCGGCUCUUGACCCUCACCAUGGCAGUGAGGAGGCCUGGAGGAGAGGGGCAGAGGCAAGCUGUACGCAGAGGGUCAGGUUACGCUGACAUUUUGAGAGAAACAGCUUCCCUGCUGCUGCAGUACUAGCUUCAUGACCAUGUUGCCUGUAUCCUCAGCCACGCUGACCACUCAGACCAUCUUGCACUGGAGCACUGCUGUUUGCACUUGGGGGAUGCCAGGUCCUUACUCAACUCCUCUGAGCCCAUCUUGCCUCUCCCGUUUUCCCAUGUGACUGUGAUGGUUCUGGACAGCGUGAGACUCCUGGCUGUUUGAGUGUGGGCUUUUUUUGGUCUGUGUUUACUUGGAAAGGUCUUGAAAGGUGCUGGGUAAAAUCUGUAAAAUUGUUGAAGGGUCUUAGGCAGUUGGUUGGGUGGACUCUCAGGGAGAUUUCAGGCUCUGACUUCUUCAACCUCCACUAAUUAUCCCGUCCUCACGUGGUGGGAGAGGGUACAGUAUACUGCCUGGUGCUCAGGAUUGUCAGUCUUUGAUUUGUGGACCCUGACAUGUUUCCUCUAGGAGCUGUGGACCAACGGAACAGGCUUAAGUUUGUAGGCAGAAUAUUCACUGGUUUGUCUUCUACACCCCUUAGAAAUACUGUGUUCUGCAGUGAUCUGUGCAUGUUUAAACUCACAUUUGCAACCCUUGUAGCUGUGAAGAAGAUUUUGCUUGAUGAGGUCUUGCUGCCAGUCAGUCUGGCAACUAAGACAGCAACGUCCAGGAACAGUUGAGGUGUGAGUUAGAUCUUCCCUGCCCUGCAGCUGGGUAUUUCUGCACAGCUGUAAUGCUCACACAGGUAGUGUAUUGAGGGUCUGAAAGGAAAGCUGUAAACUGUUACAUCCCUGUCAUACUUCGGGGGGGGGUGUUUGCUCUAGUGACUGCAGUUACAGUUUUAACUGAAGUAGGCAUCUGCUUUGAGUUGUGUGUGGAUGCGUAGCUGUGUGCUGAGCCAUCCCAGUGCUGUUUUCUCCACUGCAGAACUUCUCCCAUGGGUUUCUCCUCUCCAUCCUUUACUGGACCGGACUAAGCAGUUCUUAGCUGCCUGCUGGCUUCAAAUAGCAUCCUGCUGUGGGUAAAUCUCGAGCCCCAUGUCUUCCUGUCAUCUGUGCCUCAUUGGUUAACAGCAGAUCUCUCCAUUUCCAGCCCCACUGCCUACUGCAGGGAUCUGGCUGCUGGGGCUGGAAAGCUAGGAUUUUGUACAAGGAAGUAAGAUGAAUGACUCCAUUAAAUAAACAUCACUGCUCUGUUUAUUCUUUCAAAAGAACAGAUUACAAAAAGGAGAAGAUGCAUUUUAAAUGCAUUAAAAAUUCUGAGCAAAAUAAUGCCUUUGAAUACAAUGCUCAUGUAACAUAAAUCACAUGGCUUUUUUUCUAUCCAGGCACAUGGAAAGCAAAAACGUAUUAUUAUAUCAUUAUUUAUAUGGCACCAUAUGCUAAGUCUGGAACUUAAAGGCUUUGAAAUAAAUAAGAAAACACCAGCUGCAGAUCAGCAAUACGCUCCUUUAUUGGGAGUCACUAUGUAACUGUGGCUAUCAUUCCUGCUGUUAAGUUAAAACUUAAAUAAAUUGUCAGAGAAAUAAGAUAGCCAUUAGAGAUUCAGUGUCUGUCUCCUGGGGACGCUUUUUCUAACAGCUGUAACAAAGAUCUGCUGCUGGUUUUGUCCUAUCUGUGUAGUAACUCAUUGUAUUUGUCCCUGCAGUAUCACACAGUUGUUCAGUAGAGAUGGUUGAGCUGUUCGCUAUAAAUAAUGUUGGUUAACAAUGCGGCCCCUUUUGGGUUAAUAAAUUACAAUCAAACCA